UUGAAAGGGAAACGAUUGAAGUCAGUCGUACCUGCGGGUAAUCAGCCUUUUGGGCAUGAUUCUGUGGAGCGUGAGGAGUUAAACGCCUUCACGCCUGCAUAUUCGUGUACUUUGGGUGUACUUGCCUGUGUGGUUAGUUAACAUCAAUUUUGGUUAUCAUAAAAUGGUUGGAGGAAUGUAGCUUCGAUCUCGAUUGAAGUGUUAUAGCCUUCGGCAGAUGUGAUGAUCGGGAUUGAGGAUUGCAACGGAUACCCUUCGGGGCUACCCGUCUGGUCUCUGAUCGUUGCUCUGGUGCCGAAAGCGUGCUUACGGUUAUCAAAGUCGAUGGUCAACAGGUUAGAACGGGUUAAAUUCGUUAAGGAUGUUGACGUA
rnacentral:rRNA from 1 species